rnacentral:rRNA from 1 species
AGUGAACGCUGGCGGCGUGCCUAAUACAUGCAAGUCGAACGCAGUGGCGCACGGGUGAGUAAUAUAUAGUUAAUCUGCCCUACACAGAGGAACAACAGUUGGACACGACUGCUAAUACCUCAUAGUGUAAGAUGAGACUAUAUCGUAUCAGCUAGUUGGUACGGUAAUGGCUUACCAAGGCUAUGACGCGUAACUGGUCUGAGAGGAUGAUCAGUCAAAUUGGUACUGAGACACGGUCCAAAGUCCUAAGGGCAGCAGCAGUAAGGAAUAUUGCGCAAUGUGGGAAACCCGGACGCAGCAACGCCGCGUGGAGGAUGACACUUUUCGGAGUGUAAACUCCUUUUAUCAGGAAAGCGGUACCUGAUGAAUAAGCACCGGCUAACUCCGUGCCAGCAGCCGCGGUAAUUC